GGCGCUGUGGCUUAGUUGGUCAAAGUGCCUGUCUAGUAAACAGGCGAUCCUGGGUUCAAAUCCCAGCAGUGCCU
rnacentral:tRNA from 1 species